GACAUGGCUCAGUGUUAGAGCAUCUGCUUGGUACGCCGAAGGUCCCAGGUUCAAUCCCUGGCAUUGCCA
rnacentral:tRNA from 1 species